GGGACGGAGCGCCGGUUUAAUCAUGCCGUCCAGCACCAGGAGGAACCCUUCCAAGUGAGGCGGCCCUUUUUAAUGCUGCUUAAGAGAUCCCUCUCUUACCUCCCCAGUGGCCACGGCUCCUCCUCUCCGUCUCCCUCUGCCAGCCCUGCCCAUCAAACCCCCAAUUCUCUCCGUCCCUUUGUCCAUUACGCUCUCCUUGUCUUCAGCCAAAAUAGUUGCAUCUACGGCCAUUUUGACCUACUUCUAACACCCCUUCCAGCACACCCUCCACCCCCCCCCCUCUUUUCU
ensembl:lncRNA